CAUCUUUCCGAAGCUGCUGCUGCUGUGCUGCUUCCACUCGUGCCGCCCCGAGCAUAUUGAGUGCAUCUUCUCGGCCGUGAUCAAAGCGAGUGACGCGAGGUGCGAAAAUCACUGUUACACUCGUCUUGACACACUUUUCCUUCCGCCAAGAUGCAUCCUCAAGUCGCAGAAAUUGUGCCGUGCAAAAGUGACUCGCGAUGCAAUGAGUGCUCGCGACAUUAUCCUGCAGCGCGGAAAAAAUCAUUACCAAUGGAGGUGUUAAAACAAUAACCAAGAGAUUCAUCCGAUGAUUGCUUCAACCUGGGUGUGAUAUGCGAGGAGCAGCGAAUUUACUGGCUGAUUUAAUUUCCAACUCCUCGUCACAGGAUCCGGCAACGAGGCGAACAGAGGUGCAGAGCGGAUAGCCUAUCUUAUCUACACUGUGCGUUGGCGAAACAAAACGGAGAUGCCCGCUCGAGUUUCUCAAAGGGCAAGGCGCGUGUAAUUCCGCUGGCAUUCCUUGGCGAGAGACUUGGGAAUUCCACAUCGACCGCCAACAUCGAAACGUGACAGCAACAUUGAGAAAAUUUAUAUGUAUUUGUAUAAUGAGAAGCUAUAAAUAAAUUAUGCGUUCAAGUAUUAUUAGCAAGCAUAUAAUGAUUUCAUUGUGUGCAAAAGUUACAAAAUUAUCUGCUAUUUAACA